AGAGACAGCAGUCGCCGCGGGAACACGGAGGGAGCUAGCGUUGUUCGGAAUUACUGGGCGUAAAGCGCGCGUAGGCGGUUACUCAAGUCAGAGGUGAAAGCCCGGGGCUCAACCCCGGAACUGCCUUUGAAACUAGGUGACUAGAAUCUUGGAGAGGUCAGUGGAAUUCCGAGUGUAGAGGUGAAAUUCGUAGAUAUUCGGAAGAACACCAGUGGCGAAGGCGACUGACUGGACAAGUAUUGACGCUGAGGUGCGAAAGCGUGGGGAGCAAACAGGAUUAGAUACCCGCGUAGUCCCUGUCUCUUAUAC
rnacentral:rRNA from 1 species